UUUUAAUAUCAGCAUUGUGUUGGCCUCAUAAAAUCAGUUGGAAGUAUUGUUUACUCCUUUUUCUACAGUGAGACUGUUGGUGCCUUCUACAGUGUAGGUGUACAGCAAGCAUGGAAUGAAUAUUGCAAUUGGGUAGAAGCAGAGCUAAAGAAGGAAUAAGGCCUGGAGCUCACUCUGCCUGUGUCCGAGAACACCUUGAAACGUUCUCUACAUGGAUUUCACUCAUAUUACACAUCCUCCCUUUGGAGGGACAGCAUCGUGCCAUGAUAGGUCUGUUUUUCUAGGAUAUAAGAAAAGGGCAGAACGCAGAGCCCAGAUUGUUUUCCUUGGUAUGUAGCCCUGGGGCGAUAGAUCACCAGAGUUGAAGAGUGACCUGCUGAGAAAGUAUGGGAGAGCUUCUGGGUAAUGCACGAAAGAAACCCAGGAUGAGCAGAAGGGAACAAGCACUGAAGAAACCUACACUGUUAUCAUUUGUGUUAGGUAGCCCUUCUUGAUAUGGGUGGGAGUCCACCCAUCAAGGUGAUGAUCUAGAAGUAGAAGAAUCAUAGAAAAAUGGGAUGCUGAGCAUGCAACAACUUUAAAAUAGUUUAAUAUUUGCUCAUACCUCUUCCAUUGGCAAUACUUGGUAGCAACCUGAUUUUAUAGAAAUUUAUAUAUUCAUUUCUUCCUUAUUGAGGUCAAAUAAAUUACUCAUGUCUAAAACGUC
rnacentral:lncRNA from 10 species